GAUAAACGCUGGCGGCGUGCCUAAUACAUGCAAGUCGAGCGAACGGACGAGAAGCUUGCUUCUCUGAUGUUAGCGGCGGACGGGUGAGUAACACGUGGAUAACCUACCUAUAAGACUGGGAUAACUUCGGGAAACCGGAGCUAAUACCGGAUAAUAUUUUGAACCGCAUGGUUCAAAAGUGAAAGACGGUCUUGCUGUCACUUAUAGAUGGAUCCGCGCUGCAUUAGCUAGUUGGUAAGGUAACGGCUUACCAAGGCAACGAUGCAUAGCCGACCUGAGAGGGUGAUCGGCCACACUGGAACUGAGACACGGUCCAGACUCCUACGGGAGGCAGCAGUAGGGAAUCUUCCGCAAUGGGCGAAAGCCUGACGGAGCAACGCCGCGUGAGUGAUGAAGGUCUUCGGAUCGUAAAACUCUGUUAUUAGGGAAGAACAUAUGUGUAAGUAACUGUGCACAUCUUGACGGUACCUAAUCAGAAAGCCACGGCUAACUACGUGCCAGCAGCCGCGGUAAUACGUAGGUGGCAAGCGUUAUCCGGAAUUAUUGGGCGUAAAGCGCGCGUAGGCGGUUUUUUAAGUCUGAUGUGAAAGCCCACGGCUCAACCGUGGAGGGUCAUUGGAAACUGGAAAACUUGAGUGCAGAAGAGGAAAGUGGAAUUCCAUGUGUAGCGGUGAAAUGCGCAGAGAUAUGGAGGAACACCAGUGGCGAAGGCGACUUUCUGGUCUGUAACUGACGCUGAUGUGCGAAAGCGUGGGGAUCAAACAGGAUUAGAUACCCUGGUAGUCCACGCCGUAAACGAUGAGUGCUAAGUGUUAGGGGGUUUCCGCCCCUUAGUGCUGCAGCUAACGCAUUAAGCACUCCGCCUGGGGAGUACGACCGCAAGGUUGAAACUCAAAGGAAUUGACGGGGACCCGCACAAGCGGUGGAGCAUGUGGUUUAAUUCGAAGCAACGCGAAGAACCUUACCAAAUCUUGACAUCCUUUGACAACUCUAGAGAUAGAGCCUUCCCCUUCGGGGGACAAAGUGACAGGUGGUGCAUGGUUGUCGUCAGCUCGUGUCGUGAGAUGUUGGGUUAAGUCCCGCAACGAGCGCAACCCUUAAGCUUAGUUGCCAUCAUUAAGUUGGGCACUCUAAGUUGACUGCCGGUGACAAACCGGAGGAAGGUGGGGAUGACGUCAAAUCAUCAUGCCCCUUAUGAUUUGGGCUACACACGUGCUACAAUGGACAAUACAAAGGGCAGCGAAACCGCGAGGUCAAGCAAAUCCCAUAAAGUUGUUCUCAGUUCGGAUUGUAGUCUACAACUCGACUACAUGAAGCUGGAAUCGCUAGUAAUCGUAGAUCAGCAUGCUACGGUGAAUACGUUCCCGGGUCU
rnacentral:rRNA from 1 species